rnacentral:rRNA from 1 species
AACGAACGCUGGCGGCGUGCUUAACACAUGCAAGUCGAACGAGAACGGUUUUCUUCGGAGAACCUAUUAAAGUGGCGCACGGGUGAGUAACACGUAGAUAAUCUACCCAGGUGUCCGGGAUAACUGACCGAAAGGUUCGCUAAUACUGGAUACGUUCACGAUAUCGCAAGAUAAUGUGAAGAAAGAUGGCCUCUCCUUGGAAGCUAUUACACUUGGAUGAGUUUGCGUACCAUUAGCUAGUUGGUGGGGUAAAGGCCUACCAAGGCUACGAUGGUUAGCGGGUCUGAGAGGAUGAUCCGCCACACUGGAACUGAAAAACGGACCAGACUCCUACGGGUGGCAG